rnacentral:misc_RNA from 1 species
AGUUUAGUUUUUUAUAUUUCUUUCUAUUAAUGAUUCGGAGACGUUUUUUAUUUUACUAAUUAAAAACGUGUUACACUUUUGACGACAAAAAUUUAGGUCUUUACAUUGAAAAAAAAAAAAAACAUAUGUGAUCAAAAGACAAUUCUUUUAAUUGUACUGCAAAUUGUAAUUUAAUGUUUCUUUCUAUGUGUGUGCAGAUAUAUGUUCAUGUAUACAAUGCAUCCUUAUUUCGGUAUCAACGUGCGUAAAUGGCAGAUGGCGCCGCAAAUACCACCCGAUGUUCAAUCUUACCUAGCCCUAUCCAUUCCCGGCCGCGCCGCGCUGUCGGCCAACGAGGAUGCUCAGUAUAAAACUACCCCCGGAACUGGCGUUAUCGCAGCACGCGGCAGUAUGCGGGUACUUCUCGCGAUUCGGCCAGUUGCCGCUAGUAACUUUAUCAACAAAGUUUUCUGAAAGUGCGACUUCCAACAGCAAGAGCUAAAUUUUCACCAAAUUAAUUAAUUGCAAAUUGGCAAACAAAAUUUUUUAAUUUCGAUCCGCCGUGAUCAUUUUCACGUGUUGUAUGUGUGCGACGGUAAAGUUACAUUUCAGCGAUUGAUGACGCGAAACAAAGCACAUGGAAUUGUCUUCUAUAAAAAAUUAUAUUGCAAUCAAACGACAAUAGUUUCAUUUAAGAAAACGACUUGUUAUUUCGGCAAAAAAGAUAGACGAAAUAUUCGUAUAAAACUUUAAAUUUAAUUGUUUGGCGGUAAGCGGCUGAAUAUAUGAAACGUGAAGCAUGACAUUACUUAUUAAAAAUAGUUGCAAUUUCACGUCAUUUAAAUAUUCGAUUAAUGUGUUCAAUGUCUUUCAAUUUAAUUUAAUUAUCGUAUUUUUUUAAAUUUAGCAUAAAAUCGUGGAAUUUCUGUGGUUUGCUACCAUAUGGAACUGAAAAAGUAGACUAAAAAUAAAAAGAUAAGAAGAUUAUAAUAAUUAUUAGAUCAAGUAGAAUAAUAAUAUUUUAACAAAGCAAAAUGAUACUCUAUUUAAAUAUAAAAGCAUACUCGGCACAAUUCAGAUGUGCUUGCUGUAAUUAUUCCGUGAAAGCUACUAUUUGAAUGACGGAGAGAUCAACGGUAAUUCGUGUGAAUUUCAGUUUGCCAAGCUUAAGCGUGUAAAAAUGAACCAGUAUUAACAUGCUUACGUUAAAUUAUAUAUUUUAAAAUUAAUUAUUAAAUUUUUACAUUUUUUUUAUAUAUGUCGAAAUACGCUCGAUCAAAAUUCUUAGCGAAACGUAAAGUUAAUUUGAUCUGAUUAUUUGAUAAAAAAUUAGGAAGUGUCCAAUUUAGCGCGUUUUAAUAUGCAAACAAAUGAAUAAAUGAUUAGAGAGUUGUAAUUUUAUUUGCAGUUUUAACGUAAACAAAAAAUCAAACUCAGAAAGUGAAGCAUUAUGUUAGCAUUCCUCACGGAAAAAUGCGAUUAAUUUUUGUAAUUUAUAUCUUGAAAUUUCAUUGAUUCUUAAAGUUUCUCAGAAUUCAAACAAAAACUUGUGAAAUAUGAUGCCAUGAAAAAAGAACGAGUGAUGAAUCGACCAUGAAUACUCGACCAUGAACGAGCAAAUCGUCGACCAUGGAUACUCGACGUUCGACGUGAGAAUGAAUUUCGCGAGAAGAAAGGACCUCAGCGUCCUCAGUAUAAACAAAGGUUGCACAAUUCUAAUCGAAAUAAAACUAAAGUCUUAUUAAGACUUCCACGUUAAAUUAACGUUUGUCAUAAUAUAUCAGAAGCAGUUUUUCUGUUUCUACCUUAAAUAGAUCGGCUUUAAUAAUAUCGCCGCUACUAACGCUGAUCGAAGAGAUUGUACAUCGAUUCGUAAAGUUGAUCACCUCGCUAAAAAUGGAAUCAGGAAUCGCGAAUGCAAGCAAUGCGCUCACCAACUGCAGCAAGCAAUUUCCUACGCUUGCAUCUGGAUUCGAGGCCUGUGAGAGAUUCGAAUAUAGCUAUGAUCGCGAAUUGGUAGAAAAGAUCGUGAUGGUGGUGGUGCCAUUGUUCUUUGGUAUGAUCGGCAUCCUCGGUCUAGCCGGGAAUUCACUCGUGGUCGUGGUGGUAGCGGCGAAUGCCGGAAUGAGGUCGACCACGAAUAUCCUCAUUAUCAACCUCGCUGUGGCAGAUCUGCUGUUCGUCAUAUUUUGUAUACCCUUCACGGCCACCGAUUUCGUACUACCGUACUGGCCUUUUGGCAACGUCUGGUGCAAGAUUGUUCAAUAUCUGAUCAUUGUUACUGCUUACGCGAGCGUUUACACUCUGGUCCUAAUGAGCCUCGACAGGUACUUGGCGGUGGUCCAUCCGAUCGCGUCAAUGUCCUGGAGAACGGAGCAUCAUGCGAUAUUGGCGAUCUGUGUCGCGUGGGUGUUAAUCCUGGCGCUAUCGACGCCCGCACUCGUGAUUCACGGCGAAAUCCACUACUUGUUCCAGGAGAUAGAGGAUGUCACGUUAACAAAAAACCUGACGGCCUGUCGGAUCAUAGCGCAGUACGACUGGACCACCUUCCAGGUGUCCUUUUUUCUGACGAGCUAUGUUUUGCCUCUGGUGCUGAUAUGUAUUUUUUACAUGUGCAUGCUGGUCAGGCUAUGGCGCGGCACGCGCGUUAGUGCCGAGAGCCGACGCGGAAGAAAACGAGUCACGAGACUCGUCUUCGUCGUUGUCGGUGUGUUUGCCGCCUGUUGGUGUCCUUUGCAGGUGAUACUGGUGAUCAAAUCCUUGGACAUAUAUCCGCUCACAACGGCUACGAUAAUGGUGCAGAUAGCCAGUCAUAUCCUCGCCUAUAUGAACAGCUGCGUUAACCCCUUCCUGUACGCUUUUCUAAGCGAUAACUUUCGCAAAGCCUUUUGGAAGCUCAUUUAUUGCAGGCCGCGAGCGGAGCCGAACAAUCGGCUGGAACCAGCGACGAGGACCACGAGAGCUGCUAGUAGCGGCGAUAUUCUUUAGCUAGUUUACUCUCGCUGCCAUUUUCGUCUGUCCCUUCUACACACGAACAUCAUGAAAAGAGGGGAGAGAGAGAGAAAGAGAGAGCUCAAGCGAGGAGAGGAGUGAACUGCUAUUUCAUCCGUGAGAAAUUAUAAAUAAACGUUCCGCAAAAAUAUGGCACAUGGAAAAUCUCUUCCUGCCUACCGUAUCAGAUUAAUUAGAUCGAAAGUUUCCCGGGAAACCUCAUCGCGACACAUCACAGGCAACAAGCAAACCUUAAUCAAGUUGAUACGUUUCGCGGAGAUCGACGGCUGGAGGGAAAUUUAAUUAAGCAUUCUUUGAUACCGGUGCUGCAUGUUGUUUUUUCAUUCUGUAACGAACAACUCUUUGAUCGCUCAUCCCAUAAGCUACUUUUUCACCUUUUCUUCGCGUUUCCUUCUUCCACCUUGCAUGAUAAACGAAUAAAAAACAAAUGCGAGAGAUAUUAAAUGUUCGGCGCAUUGCAUUUCGAUUAUAAUCACAAUAAAAUCUCCUUUUGGGAUUUGCCUGCGAAAAAAUUAAUCCGACAAUUGACGUAUUUACACCACAAUCGAGAGAAUUAAAACUAAAUUCGCCUUUUCUAUGUUUCAUUUCCAAACAAUCGGAAUUAUUGUUUCGCUUUUCAGUUCAUUGAACAAAACAGUCAAAACCAAUAAGUUAUAAAAUUUAAUCCAAAACAAAUCCAUAUGAGCAUAUUUAUUCUUUUGUAUAAAUAAAAGUGCACAAUACAAACUUUUAAUACGUGCCAUUAAUUUUGUCGAAACUUAAUCGUUCUUAAUUAACGAUUCUAUAAUCAGAUAAACAUUCAACGUUAUUAAGGGAAAUUUAAACGCAAUAAAUCAAAUAUAUACUCUGGCAUGACAUUGUUAUCCAAGUCGUCCGACGGGAGAGACUUGCAAUGGCAGUCGUGCCGACACGUGGACAUACGUAAAUACCGAACUGUUUGGCUGCUCCGCCGGACGGAAACGUAUUUUACGGACGAGGCGAAUUUAGAAAAAGAUAAGUGAUCCGGUAAUUGCCGGCGCCACGAGAAUGGCGGCUCGUAAAAAUGACGCUGACUAGUGCAAACAAAUCUUAAUCAAGUAGACGUAUUCCAUGAGCAACGAGAUGCGGUAAUCCGAUAUUCUCGUCGUUCCAAUGCGAUCUCGACUAAAGCGUUUGCAAAAUUAGCCUAGCGUGAUAUUGGCGGAACUAUUUGCGCGUCAAUAUUAGCGAUUUGCUAUUUAUUAUACAAAGUCAUUUGGACAGAGAGAAUUGAGUCGAAUCAUAUUGCUUCCUGCACGAUUAUGAAUGCCGUAUAAAACGUCUAUUUUCUAUUUAACUAAUAUACAUUAAUGCAAAUAUUUUAAAUC